AAUCAUGUUUCUCUUCAUAUCGAAUAAAUUUUUCGCCUUUUACUAAAGAUUUCCGUGGAGAGGAACAAUAUGAUGAAUUAACAAUUUUUUGAUGCCCUGCUAACGCGGGGCU
rnacentral:snRNA from 1 species